UGUGCCCAGACCCCAUUUAUCCAGCCCCAAACAAAAUGAAAAGCCAGGGUCUGCUCUGAACCACACGACUAACCUCCAAGGCCACCAUGGUCACAAGGGUACAAUUUGAGCCCCAGAGGAGCUCCCUCAGCAAGUCUAUGAACGAGGCCAAUGGACGUCAUUCUUGCAAAACAACUGGAAAGACCUUGUCUGUAGUUUACAAACCAAGAGAAGAGCGUCUGAAGCAGAAGGAGAUGGCCAGAGAGAAAAAUGAAACCAGACUUCAGCUGGCUUAAUAGGUGCAAAGGCAAACUGUCCCAAGGAGAUCAAUCUGUCAGCGCUCCUAGCCACGCCCCCUCCCGCUCCCUUCAGUGACAGGACUAAGGGCUAAAUGCCUUCAAGCUUCAAACUCCUGUUCUUCUGAGAAUUAUAUGGUGAAGGCCCAUGGGGUGCCUGGGUGGCUCAGUCAUCGUUAAGCAUCUGCCUUCGGCUCAGGUCAUGAUCUCGGGGUCCUGGGAUGGAACCCCGCAUCGGGCUCCCUGCUCAGCGGGAAGCCUGCUCCUCCCUCUCCCACUCGCCCUGCUUGUGUUCCCUCUCUCGCUGUGUCUCUCUCUGUCAAAUAAAUAAAUAAAAUCUUUAAAAAAAAUAAAAAAUAAAAUAAAAUAAAAGGCGAAGGCCCGAAAACAUCUUACUGCAUAACCAUCAUGUGGAGUCCAAUAGGAAUAUCAACUCUUCACU